rnacentral:rRNA from 1 species
AUAGGUGAAAUUAAUUAAUUAAAAGUAAAUUUAAAAUGAGGCUAAUAAAAUUAAGAGAUAAACUAGGAUUAGAUACCCUAUUAUACUUAAUUAAAAAAGGUAAAAACUAAAUUAUUAAUAGUUAUAUUCUUAAAAUUUAGAGAAUUUGGCGGUGUUUUAGUCCAUUUAGAGGAACCUGUUUCUUAAACGAUAAACCACGAAUUAUCUUACUUGGGUUUGUAUACCGUCAUUAUUAGAUGAUUUCAAUAGAAAAAAUUAUUUAAAUAGAUUAUAUUUAAUAUAUUAGAUCAAGGUGCAGCUAAUAGGCAAGUGAAAAUGGGUUACAAUAAAAAUUUAUUUAUUAAUGAAUUAGUAUUUAUGAAGGUGGAUUUAAUUGUAUAUAAAUUUAAUAAGUUUAUAUGAUAUUGGCUCUAAAUUAUGUACAUAUUGCCCGUCGCUUUC